rnacentral:rRNA from 14 species
AAAUAGAGUUUUACUACCGUUAAGUUUAGAUAAAACAUCUAAUGAUAAAAAAUUAAUUUUGCUUGACUUUGUAUAUCUAUGAGAUUAGUUGAUUGGUAGGCAAAAAUCUUCCAAAACUUAGAUCUCUAACAUAAUUUAACGAUUUUUCGUCCUGAUAACUCUGAGAAUGAGUUUUAUUGCUUCUGCAAUAGCAACUGAGAAUAUUAGACAAUUAAAGGAAUCUAGAUCUAGUAACUUCGAAUAACUCGGUGAAGUGGUUUGUAACCUUAUAAGUUUAAGUUUUUGUUCAUAUAAGAUUACUUCUACUUAAAUUCCAACUGAUUACGUGCCAGAAGUUUCGGUAAAACGUAAGGAAUAAGCGUUUUUUAUAUGAACUUGGUUUAAAGCGCGUUAAUACUUUUUAGUGAACUGUUUUUUUUAAGCUUUUAAUCUUAAAGUGACGGUUUACUAGUUUUUUCUAUUUGAGUGCUAUUAAAGAGAGUUGAAUGCGAAAAGAAGCGAUAAAAUUCUUUGAUUGUUCGUGGAAAUUCAAUAAGACUAAAGUAGCUCUCUGAGUAGUUGUUUAAAUAAUAAUCUAGAUUGUUAUUUAUGUUUAACUGACGUAAAUUUACGCGAAAGCUUAAGUAUCAAAGAGAAUUAGAGACUCUCGUAGUUUACGCUAUCAACAAUGAAAACUACUUUUUUAGUUCAUUAAAAUAUAAGUUUUUCGCCAGAAAAUUAAGUUCGCAAGAAUAAAAUUCAAAGAAUUAGAUGAGAUGUGAAAUUAUUGGUGGUUUAUGAAUUUUAAUUCGAAAUUACGCGCAAAUCUUACCUACUUUUGUAUGUUUUGUUGUGCUUUAAAAUCCAGUUGCACUUUUUAUUAGUUCUCUUUUAAUAAUUAUAUUCACAAGUGCUGCAUGGCUGAUUUCAGUUCUUAUUAUGAAAAGUUUGAUUAAUUUCAAGAAAGAGCGAAAUCUUUUUCUCUCUUUUAAUCCUUUUUGAUUGAUAUUGCUUAGGAAUUAAGCUAAGAUGAAAGCAAAGAAAAAGUCUAAGUCUUUAUGGCCUUUAUAUGUAGGGCUUAUUUUUUGUAAUACAGUAGAGAGUAAUCAAAUAAUUGCUUAAUUUAAAAGCCAAAUUAUAACUCUUUCUAAUACGAAUUUUUUCUUUUAACUCAGAAAAAUGUAGUUGAAAUCAAUUGUAACAGAAAAUCAUUACGUUUCUGUGAUACUUUUUCUCACAUUUGUACUUAUCGUCCAACAACGCUUGAAAAUACAGAUAGUUUCAAUU